rnacentral:lncRNA from 1 species
AAGUCCCAUAAAAGCACAAUGUAUGUUGUUAAUGAUGAUGAUGGUUACUAUCAUUGCUUAUAUUACCCAGAACCAUUCCUGGCACAUAUUUGGUUUUAAUUUGAAUAGUUAAGUAUAUUGAGAGUUAUAGUAAAGCUAGAUAAAUUAUUUUAGUAAAUUAAGUUUAUCUAUGGUAACUAAUACUACCAUGAAAAAGUAAAAAAAUUAUGAAUCUAGGGAAUAUUAAUCCAUAUUUAAAUAAUAAUAUUCCUG